AAAAGCGCAACGACACAUUGUAGUCGAAAUACCCCAGCUCGAGGGGGCCCCCCUUUCCCAUGCAUUAGCGCGACAGCGUCAAGUGCAAGUGAAAAGUGAAAAAUUAAAAUGAAGCGAAAUUAUCUCUCCGGCAAUCAAAAAAAGAAGAAGAAAAGGGAAGAGGAGCAGAAAAGAAAACAAGACACCGGUAAGUAGAAUAUACACAAUCAACAUGAAAAUUGUGCCAGGCAGGGUAUACCAUAUUUUGCUAGAGUAGCGAGGUUGUAACGACGACUAGCUAGGAACCAGUGGUUUGGCAUGCUAGCAUGCUAACCAAACUUAAACUGCUACCUUUGACUUCACUAUAAGUUCAUAACGUUAUCAGCUGGCCAAAUUGAUCAACGAUUAAUUCCUCUUAAUAUCCUAAAUAAACUUCACAUAUGUUUUCAGUCGUUAGAGCCUUGAGACAACCAGUGAAAUAGUUAUUCCUGUAGUAGCUAGCUAUUUAAUAGGAGAUUAACAUGGGAGUUUACAAUAAUUUUGCUAGAAUACCAUUGGGUUGAUUUACUUACUUUAUUUACAUUUUAACGGUUAACAUCCCGGCGCAGAUCAGCCACAUGAAGAAAACAGCCACUUUAGUGUCAAUUAAUCCUUUUCUAAACCUAUUCUGCUGUUUGUUGUUGUUGGUCUCCAUGAUAGCUGUAAAUACCACUGGACCACCGUUAAAAACUGUACCGAUAGCUUUGAGCUUUUUCUAUGGGACACAGACAGUACACAGACACACACAGACACACCACGGGUGCGGGGAUGGCGCUGUUGCCACUCACAGAAUUGAUUUCAGGAAAACAGCUCGUCUUAGUGACUGUAUUUCUGUUUUCAAACCAGUGAAAACGGGAUUAUUGUAAGAUUUUAUUAUUAUUAUUUUUUUUACUUUUUUUUGGUGAAGCAGUGCUUCACCUGUAGUCGUAUAGAAACCGCCACUAAACCGCCUAGUAGGAACUGUGUGUAAUGCUUUUAAUAUCUAUUUCACCACAAUUAUCAGACUGUAAAAUGAUAGGAUUUCAAAAGCAUUUGAAAAAUAACCAAGCUAAUCAUACAGUACUUAUUCUUUCUCCAAGGGGCAUUGCUGAAAUUUCUUCAUCCCGCUCUACCAAGUGUUGUCUCUGGUGCUACUGAAGGUAACGUUCUUUUCUACCUAUUAUUAGUGCCUUCUAUCAACACACUUGAUGUUAUCAAAAUGACUUUACAUUUUUCUAAUUCAAGUCAUAGUUGUGUGUAUUCAUUCCACUUGCCCACAGAGUCUUCUGGACAUUUCAAAUAUGUGGGACAUUCACUAAUGUUAAUGAAUAACUGAGUUGUUGAGAUCAAUGCAUGCAAAAUGUGCAAUAUAAAUAAAAAGAAUAUUAUUUAUGUAUUUAUUUAUUUUUGCACCAGGGCCAUCAACAUCGUCUUCGUCACAUGUUUAUGAGGAGGAGCAAGUGGAAGACAACAUUGCGGCGUCCACACCACUUCCCAGCAGUGGUUCAACAGAAGCAGUGCCAUCAACUCCAUCACGACUUGAGGAGGAGCAAGUGGAAGCAUCCACACCACUUCCCAGCAGUGGUUCAACAGAAGUGCCAUCAACUCCAUCUCCACUUCAUGAGGAGGACAAAGAGGAAGAUGACAUUGACAUGGCAGAGACCACCCCACCAUCCAGAACUGGGGUACCUGUAGGUAUUGCAAGCACCACAUUAAGUGAUGACCCAGGAUGUUGGCCCAGUGUCCUAACAAGCAGUAUGCGCUGUGAAAUAGUCAAAAAAGGACCUGUGCAAAUCAUGGACAUUGAAUUCCCGCAAAACUUAGACAAUCCUCCUCGAAGAUUCACCAAGGACAGUUACAAAAGAACCAUGAAAAAUGGUGAGAAUAUACAUCGAUCGUGGCUGGUGUAUUCCAUCCACACAGAUGGAGUGUUCUGUUUCCCUUGUACUGUUUUCGGGAAGCGUGAGCGUGACAAUGCCUUAACGACCUGUGGCUACGGUGGAUGGAAGAACCUUUCCUAUCGCCUAAAAAAACACGAGUGCACAAAGGUGCACUGUGACAAUGUGAAAAAGUGGCACGACCUUCAGAGGAGACUGCAAACCAGUACACUGAUUGAUCAAAGACAGAUGGAGUUGAUGCAACUUGAAGUUGAA